CUGAAGUGGUCCUUCUCAUGGAAAAGACGGAUUAAAAGUGGACUGAGUAAAAAGGAAAGUAGUUUCAAAGGUUAGUGGCAUUACAUGCCAGACGGGGAGUGUUCUGCCCUCAGAAUUGUUUUCAUGACGUAAGAACUGUUUUCUAUGAAAAGAAGAUUACACAAUGGUUAUUUGUCGUUCGGAAGCAAACCGGAAAUGUAUUUUGAAAUGCACCGGAAGCUGCGCAUGUUUUUGUUGAAGCGACUUGACAACUGAUGAGUUUCAGAGUGGUGAUGUUCAU